AUACUUGCCUGGCAGAAGAGACACCAUGAUCAGAGAGGUGGUUUUCCCGGGGUGAAGACCAUCCCCUGCACUCCAGGGGUGCUGACCCCUGAGAUUUCCCCAAAUGUGUGAAACUCAACUGCAUAAUUUGUGGUAGUGGUGGGCUGUGUUCAUGCUCUUGGCCACUG
rnacentral:snRNA from 1 species